CGUGGCGUCUUUAUCCUUGGGAUCGUUUCUCCCAAGACGGUCGGUAUAAUCACUAGCGCCUUUUCCCGUGACCCGGCCAAGGCCAAUAGACUGCAAUGUAACAUCCACUUCAUCUUGCGUCAUCUCGUGGCUAUUUUCCUUCUGGCCCUCUAGAACAUCAUAGAGAGCAUAAAUCUGAUCAGACUUCAUAUCGAUUUCCCUUAAAAUAGCCUCAAUUGUAUGGAGUAUGGACUUUCGUUGCUUCUUGCCAAGCGACGCAUCAUGUUUGUUCAAUGCUGUCUGUUGAAGAGCAAGUCGCAUUUUCAGAUGUGCCAGCUCGUCUUCUAACAAUUUUAGAACGGCAGCAAGAGCCACAGCUGGUGGCUGUGACGGACGGAGGGUAGGCUCUUCGUUAUAUGGCGAUGGAUCUGGCAUGCGAUCGGAGACAGGGAUGGGUUUAGAGACCUUAAUGGAGUCAUGUCCUUCACCACUAUGAUCAUGGGUGGAAUUCUUGUUCAUGACACUUUUGCAAACUGAGCAGUUCUUCCCAUCAUGCUGCGCGACAUCAUCCAAAACACGCUGGGCAGCUUCUGACAACUUGAGUGGUUCUCCAGGUUUAGCGGUAACACCAUGCAUCGUAAUAUCAGGGAGAAUGAACGCUGAUGUCAUUUCCUCUGUCCUUUUCUGUCGGCGUCUGGUGUCAAUGCGCUGCGACAAAUCUCUGGUGGUAUUCGCAGCCGCCCCUUGCUCCGUGAUGUCAACACCAGGCACUUCAACUGUCACCGUGCGCCCGUCUCUAGAUACAGCAUUCUUCAGUAAUGACUUCAGUGUCACGGUUGAGGCGGUUAUUACGGGCAACCCUUUCCUCCUCCAGUGUUUUGCGAAGUUGGGCUAUCUCAUUGGCCUGUAUUAUUCAUUAUCGUUAGUGGGACUUCAUUGAGAUUUAGAACCGGGGAAGCCUACGUCAAUGAAGCUAAGAAAUGUUAAAUCGUUGGCUGGUCCAUUGCGGUAACGGAAACCUCUUGUUUCCGUCCCCAUUUCUCCCUCCGACAGCUCGAUAUCUUCGGAAUAUUCAAUAAUAGGUUUCUUGGUACGCUGUUUGCUGGUGUUGGGAAGCUUCUUUUCGGUGGUAUUUGCUCGUGUCUUCGUAUGUCUAGUGUGCUGCUGCACACUAAGAUGGGACAAGUCGAGAGAGAAUAGCUCGUCAUAUUCAGUCUGCUUCUGUUGUCGGGUAUGAAUGUUAUGUGAGUUUUGCCUUUGUGCAUCAACAGCAUUUUUGCGGACUGAAGCAUCAGCGUCCAGACUUUCAACAGCUCGAGCUGGCCUUGUUCGAUUAGUUUCCGUUGUUUCGAUCUGGUCUCUGGUGGCGAUGCCUCGACCAAUUGUCUUGGAAUCGUGAGUCUGCUUAUGUUGUUUGCCAUACGUUGCUUCGGGGUACUCAGUCAGCGAUUCAAGUUGAAUCUUCAGUUCAUCGUUCUCCUGUCCCAACACGUCGUUUUCCAACUUCAGUUCCUGCAAAUUGAGAUAAGCCACGCCUAAUUGGGUCCGGGCUGAGUCGCGUUCUUGUAUCAAGUGCUGAAUUCUAGUCUCGUGGCUGGAAAUUUUGCGGGUAAAGAUAUCUAACCGAUUCUGAAGUGCCGAAUUGGCUGCUUCCAAUCCUAGAUAGACCGAGUUAUAAGUCAGGUUGUUACGCUUGCGCGCAGAUCAAUAUAUAUAUGUACUCACUACUCCUUUGAACAGAAUGGUUGCCAUUUCUUCUUCCAUCAUUAAUAUCUUCAUCACCGCCAUACAUUCUCAAGUUUUUAUCUUGCUUCUGCCAGCGAGUGUUUUCACUCUUCAAUAUCAUAUUCUCUUCUUCAAUUUCUUCAAGUCUACGUUCCAUAUCGGAUUUGUCCAUCUGGAGGGCUUCAAGUUUUUCCUGAAGCAAUUUCAAGGAAAUAAAAAUGGCCUUUUCGUCAUCCGGAACGGGGAUAGAGUCAAGAGGGAAAUGUUCAUGGCGCUGGCGAUGAGCAGUUCCUACAGCGGGAGGUGAAGUGAAGCGUGUCGUUCGCGAUCGUCCCUUUGGCGUUCCAUCUUCAUAAAUCCCGGAGACGAGAUCAGAG
rnacentral:sRNA from 2 species